rnacentral:rRNA from 1 species
UACGAAGGGGGCUAGCGUUGCUCGGAAUCACUGGGCGUAAAGCGCACGUAGGCGGCUUUCUAAGUCAGGGGUGAAAUCCUGGAGCUCAACUCCAGAACUGCCUUUGAUACUGGAGAGCUUGAGUCCGGAAGAGGUGAGUGGAACUCCGAGUGUAGAGGUGAAAUUCGUAGAUAUUCGGAAGAACACCAGUGGCGAAGGCGGCUCGCUGGUCCGGUACUGACGCUGAGGUGCGAAAGCGUGGGGAGCAAACAGG